rnacentral:rRNA from 1 species
AUUGAACGCUGGCGGCAGGCCUAACACAUGCAAGUCGAACGAGUGGCGGACGGGUGAGUAAUGUCUGGGAAACUGCCCGAUGGAGGGGGAUAACUACUGGAAACGGUAGCUAAUACCGCAUACCAUCGGAUGUGCCCAGAUGGGAUUAGCUAGUAGGUGGGGUAACGGCGAACCUAGGCGACGAUGCCUAGCUGGUCUGAGAGGAUGACCGGCCACACUGGAACUGAGAAACGGUCCAGACUCCAACGGGAGGCAGCAGGAGGGAAUAUUGCACAAUGGGCGCAAGCCUGAUUCAGCCAUGCCGCGUGAAUGAAGAAGGCCUUCGGGUUGUAAAGUACUUUCAGCGAGGAGGCGGUACUCACAGAGGAAGCACCGGCUAACUCCGUGCCAGCAGCCGCGGUAAUAC